GAGAAGUUCCUCAACAGGCUCCAUGAUGUCGAGGUCAAUUUAGAUUCACAUGGACUCUGGGAUAUACCCCAUCCAUGGCUCAAUUUGUUCGUGCCACGCUCGUCCAUCGCGUCAUUCGACGCCCUGAUUUUCAAGCAUUUGAUUAAGAGCGACUUCAAUGGGCCAAUCCUCAUAUAUCCGCUCAAGAGAGACAAGUAAUCUUCUCGUUCUCUUGAUCCUUCAUUAACAUUCACGAUAUUUCAAGGACAAGUAUGCAAUAUAGAGUGCCUUCACAAUUUUGAUUUACAGUUCGUGAUUCGUUCACCUUGACAGGUGGGACUCACAAUCGUCGGCGGUGAUACCAGAUGAAAGCGUCUUUUACCUUGUUGGCUUUCUUCGCAUUUCUCUCCCGUCAUCAGGGCCUCCUCUUAGCAGUUUGAUCGCUGAGAACGACAAGAUUAUGGAAGUUUGUCACAAUGCAAGUUUAGGGUGCAAGAUGUACCUUCCUGAGUACGAAGACACGGAAAGUUGGAAGUUUCAUUUCGGCAACCGAUGGGAGACAUUUUCUCGAAGGAAACACAAAUACGAUCCAGAAUUUAUUCUUGCCCCCGGUCAGAAUAUUUUCCCAAGAAUACGAGCUCACGAUCACCCUGACAACAAGUUGGCUACGACUGUUGUUUAAACUUUCAGAAAGCCUAGUGAGGAAUUUGUUCCAUGGACUUGUGGCCACCUGCCUGCAGAGUGCCAAACGCAGAUUCAGCAAGGGUAACCUUUUGCUAUUUUGAUUGGGGCUUCAGAUGAGAAGGCAAGAACCAACACCAUACUGAGGUUGAAGUUGGCACAAGAUUUUUGAAGCCAAACAGGCCGCAAAGGUUCAAGAAAAUGUAAAACUUUAGCGGCCCCGCGAGCGAGCUCCUGAAUGAAGACCAAAUGGGAGAGAAGCGAGUGGCUUCCACAGUAUUACCAUGAGUGAAGAGAAGUCAGGUUUUAGGGUUCCUCUUCUCUCUUUUUUCUAUUGUUGCACCAUUCUCAUCACAAAGAACAAUACGGAACCUGUAAAUUAAAUGCUGCAGAAAAACCCUUAGAUAGAAAACUAGUCAAGCAAAAGGAGAGGGUGGGCCAGAUCGCUUGGAGUGAUUAAGCUGUUUGGUUCUGCAGAUUGUAGUGAGCCAUGCACAUUAAAACAGCGCUCCAGAAUUUUCUCCGAUGACGAUGUUCGGCAUUCGCACCCCCCACUUUACUGCGUUUAGUGGCUUUCAUAUGUUCUCGUUCAACACUUUUAGAGAGACUUGAUACAAUCAGAUCAAAUCUGCCCUACCCGGAUUGUGCAGAGUAUUACAAAAUAAUCUUGAAUGUCUCAAGCAUUGAAUGCCCUCAUGCCCUAGUCCAUGCUCCGAAGGACGAAGGACGUCAAAAAUCCACACAUAGACAUACUUCGAUGUGGAGUAACCUAAAACAUGGAUGUCUGCGAAGCUGGGAAGUUAAGUUAUAGGGUUUCAGGUAUACUAAUAUGUUAAAAAUUACCUCCGUGUUAUCAAUGGAGCGCCAGGAUAUCAGUAAAACAGGCAUCGAGGCCAGAAUAAUUUGUUUUAACGGCUCGAAGGAAGCAAUUGAAGGUGAGGAACCAAACUGGGAGAAAAAGCUUCUCUUACACUGCGUAUUCUUCUACCAUAAUUAAUAACUAUUUUAAUGAUAUCAUACCUAGAC
rnacentral:lncRNA from 1 species